rnacentral:ncRNA from 1 species
AGGAGCCGUGUACGAGGCCCGUACGCACGGUUCUGUGAGAGGGAUGAGGUGAGUAUUGAUCAACUCACC